CAUGCCCUACAAACCAUAAAUUCUCAUCAGAUGGGUUUUACUUAACUCUGUAUAUUGUAUAUAUUUCCUUCCUUCCUUUCCAAAUCCAGGAGAUAAUCAACUAAGAGCCAGGCACCCUUUUAAGUCCGUUGAGUAACAUUUUAUAACCUGCUCUCUCUGAAGUCUGCUCUCUGAGACACAGAAACAUUCCAAGCCUGUGCAAUUUGCAUGAGGAGGACAACUAACCUGAAGAGGACUGCAAGGCUUGGGCUGGGACUACUCCCCAGGAGGUUCUCAAAACCCUCAGGUCUCAGGAAUCCAUCUCCAACCACCCACAAUGGGGAGUAUUUUGCUCUCUAACCCUUGUCCCCUCCUCCUCCCUCAUCCUCCCUUCUCUCUCUGUCUUCCUCGUGUGGCUCCCAUCCAAAAGGCCCUUUGCCAAUUCCAACUGAACAUCCCACAUCAGACAUUAAUCCAGCCAACUGGUAAGAUCUGCCCUUCCCUGACCUUCUUGCAGUACCCAGGAAAGUCAGGUCUGACAUCCCAGUUCUCGGAGGACCAAUGGGACUAAGCUAGAAGAAAUCUUGGGGACACCCAGUUUCUUCUCAGCUUGACCAUCCUCUUCAUGAAAAGGAUUCUAGGUCUCUGUCUUUUGUCUGGAAAUGCCUAGAACAAAACAGACACCCUUGGUUUUCUCUUACCAGUCCACAUGAGUGCCAGACAGUCCCAGAUUCCUACUGGCCUGUCUCUUUCACAACCUCACCAAACUUGGCUUAUGGGAAGCAUAAAGCCAAAGUGGUUUUUUUUUUUUUUUUUUAAUUGCAACAUGGUCUGGCCCCAACACAAAUUAGAUAAU